GACGAACGCUGGCGGCGUGCUUAACACAUGCAAGUCGAACGAUGAAGCCGGAGCUUGCUCCGGUGGAUUAGUGGCGAACGGGUGAGUAACACGUGAGCAAUCUGCCCUUGACUCUGGGAUAACUGCGGGAAACUGUAGCUAAUACCGGAUACGACACCUUGGGGCAUCCCAGGGUGUGGAAAGAAUUUCGGUCAAGGAUGGGCUCGCGGCCUAUCAGCUAGUUGGUGAGGUAAUGGCGCACCAAGGCGACGAAGGGUAGCCGGCCUGAGAGGGUGACCGGACACACUGGAACUGAGACACGGUCCAGACUCCGACGGGAGGCAGCAGUGGGGAAUAUUGCACAAUGGGCGAAAGCCUGAUGCAGCAACGCCGCGUGAGGGAUGAAGGCCUUCGGGUUGUAAACCUCUUUUAGCAGGGAAGAAGCGAAAGUGACGGUACCUGCAGAAAAAGCACCGGCUAACUACGUGCCAGCCGCCGCAGUAA
rnacentral:rRNA from 1 species